rnacentral:rRNA from 1 species
AUUGAACGCUGGCGGCAUGCCUUACACAUGCAAGUCGAACGGUAACAGGUUAAGCUGACGAGUGGCGAACGGGUGAGUAAUGUAUCGGAACGUGCCCAGUCGUGGGGGAUAACUGCUCGAAAGAGCAGCUAAUACCGCAUACGAUCUGAGGGUGAAAGCGGGGGAUCGCAAGACCUCGCGCGAUUGGAGCGGCCGAUAUCAGAUUAGGUAGUUGGUGAGGUAAAGGCUCACCAAGCCGACGAUCUGUAGCUGGUCUGAGAGGACGACCAGCCACACUGGGACUGAGACACGGCCCAGACUCCUACGGGAGGCAGCAGUGGGGAAUUUUGGACAAUGGGCGCAAGCCUGAUCCAGCCAUGCCGCGUGCGGGAAGAAGGCCUUCGGGUUGUAAACCGCUUUUGUCAGGGAAGAAAAGGUUCUGGCUAAUACCUGGGACUCAUGACGGUACCUGAAGAAUAAGCACCGGCUAACUACGUG